UACAGAGGGGGCAAGCGUUGUUCGGAAUUACUGGGCGUAAAGGGCGCGUAGGCGGCCUGUUAAGUCAGACGUGAAAUCCCUCGGCUCAACCGGGGAACUGCGUCUGAUACUGGCGGGCUUGAAUUCGGGAGAGGGAUGUGGAAUUCCAGGUAUAGCGGUGAAAUGCGCAGAUAUCAGGAGGAACACCAAUGGCGAAGGCAGCUCGCUGGGACGGUACUGACGCUGAGACGCGAAAGCGUGGGGAGCAAACAGG
rnacentral:rRNA from 1 species